rnacentral:rRNA from 1 species
CAGUCGCCGCGGGAAUACGUAGGGUGCAAGCGUUAAUCGGAAUUACUGGGCGUAAGGCGUGCGCAGGCGGUUUGUUAAGACAGAUGUGAAAUCCCCGGGCUUAACCUGGGAACUGCAUUUGUGACUGGCAAGCUAGAGUGUGGCAGAGGGGGGUGGAAUUCCGCGUGUAGCAGUGAAAUGCGUAGAUAUGCGGAGGAACACCGAUGGCGAAGGCAGCCCCCUGGGCCAACACUGACGCUCAUGCACGAAAGCGUGGGGAGCAAACAGGAUUAGAUACCCCUGUAGUCCCUGUCUCUUAUAC